rnacentral:tRNA from 1 species
GCUGGCGUAGCUCAGUCGGUAGAGCGUUGGUCUAAUAAGCCAUUGGUCGCCGGUUCGAUCCCGUCGGUCAGCA